AGAACGAACGCUGGCGGCAUGCCUAAUACAUGCAAGUCGAACGAACUCUUCGGAGUUAGUGGCGCACGGGUGCGUAACGCGUGGGAAUCUGCCCCUUGGUUCGGAAUAACAGUUGGAAACGACUGCUAAUACCGGAUGAUGACGAAAGUCCAAAGAUUUAUCGCCAAGGGAUGAGCCCGCGUAGGAUUAGCUAGUUGGUGAGGUAAAGGCUCACCAAGGCAACGAUCCUUAGCUGGUCUGAGAGGAUGAUCAGCCACACUGGGACUGAGACACGGCCCAGACUCCUACGGGAGGCAGCAGUAGGGAAUAUUGGACAAUGGGCGAAAGCCUGAUCCAGCAAUGCCGCGUGAGUGAUGAAGGCCUUAGGUUGUAAAGCUCUUUUACCCGAGAUGAUAAUGACAGUAUCGGGAGAAUAAGCCCCGGUCUAACUCCGUGCCAGCAGCCGCGGU
rnacentral:rRNA from 1 species